rnacentral:miRNA from 10 species
UGAGGCAGGAGAAUUGCUUGAACCCAGGAUGUGGAGGCUGCAGUGAGCCAAGAUCGUGCCACUGUAUUCCAGCCUGGGUGACAGAGUGAGACUCCAUCUC